rnacentral:rRNA from 1 species
CACGUAGUUAGCCGGUGCUUAUUCUUUAGGUACCGUCAGUAUCAGCCAUUAUUCACAGCUGACUUUUCUUCCCUAACAAAAGUACUUUACAACCCUAAGGCCUUCUUCAUACACGCGGCAUGGCUGGGUCAGGGUUGCCCCCAUUGUCCAAAAUUCCCCACCGCUGCCUCCCGUAGGAGUCUGGGCCGUGUCUCAGUCCCAGUGUGGCGGAUCAUCCUCUCAGACCCGCUACAGAUCUUCGCCUUGGUGAGCCUUUACCUCACCAACUAGCUAAUCCGACAUCGGCCGCUCAAAAAGCGCUAGGCCUAUUCCUAGGUCCCCAGCUUUCUUCCUCAGAAUUUAUGCGGUAUUAGCCACCCUUUCGGGUGGUUACUCCCCUCUUCUCGACACGUUCCGAUGUAUUACUCACCCGUUCGCCACUCGCCGCACGAGAAGCAAGCUCCUCCCCGCUCGCCGUUCGACUUGCAUGUAGUAAAGCAUCGCCGCCAGCGUUACAAUCUGACGCCAGGAUACAAACUUCCG